UCUUCAGUAGUAUAGUGGUCAGUAUUUCCGCUUGUCAAGCANUUGACAGAUCGCGGGAGACCGGGGUUCAAUUCCCCGCUGGAGAG
rfam:Bipolaris zeicola 26-R-13 unplaced genomic scaffold scaffold_799, whole genome shotgun sequence.